rnacentral:rRNA from 1 species
GACGAACGCUGGCGGCGUGCUUAACACAUGCAAGUCGAACGAAAAGAGGGAAAGAGCUUGCUCUUUCCGGAAUUGAGUGGCAAACGGGUGAGUAACACGUAAACAACCUGCCUUCAGGAUGGGGUCAACAGACGGAAACGACUGCUAAUACCGAAUAAGUUCCAAGAGCCGCAUGGCCCAUGGAAGAAAAGGUGGCCUCUACCUGUAAGCUAUCGCCUGAAGAGGGGUUUGCGUCUGAUUAGCUGGUUGGAGGGGUAACGGCCCACCAAGGCGACGAUCAGUAGCCGGUCUGAGAGGAUGAACGGCCACACUGGAACUGAGACACGGUCCAGACUCCUACGGGAGGCAGCAGUGGGGAAUCUUCCGCAAUGGGCGAAAGCCUGACGGAGCAACGCCGCGUGAGUGAUGACGGCCUUCGGGUUGUAAAACUCUGUGAUCCGGGACGAAAAGGCAGAGUGCGAAGAACAAACUGCAUUGACGGUACCGGAAAAGCAAGCCACGGCUAACUACGUG